UUAUUUAUUGUCUUUUGAAAGACAGCUUUUUCUCUUGUUAUUUGAUUGGAUAGUUCCAUCUUUUUUUAAAGCAUAAACUGUCAGAUUGAUUUUCUUUUAUCCUUACUAUAGGUAUGAUGGCCAACAAGCUCAGAUUCAUAAUUUAAUGGAUGGGUUUAUGCAAGUCUUUUCAUGAAAUGGCGAAGAAAUAACAUUUAGAUUUCCAAAUUUGGUGAAUAUAGUCAAGGAAUCAUGUAAGCCUGCUGCCAUGACUUUCAUACUGGAUGCAGAGUUGCAGUAGAUAGAAAGAAUGGAAGCAAGCUGAGGGCCUUCCAACAACUAUCCUCAUGAGAGAGAGGGAGUAAAAAUUCCUUGAUUACAAUGGAUAACAUAAAGAUUUGUAAGACUUAUUCUAUGAGGAAAAGUUGGGUUAUUUUGAAUUUGUGAAGGAAAUAACUGUGGAAGCUGAUGAAGCACGUUUGAAAAGGGCUAGAAUGCUAAGCACAUUUUCUGCAUUUCUUAAUUGGUGGGACUCAUCCACUGUACACAUGGUCUUCCCCACAUGCCAAUCCAAACACCCAAAAUAGUUAGCCCAUCAUGGGCAGACGGAUCCACUGUUGAAUUUCACCUUCUGAUAAUUUUCUUUUAAUGUUCUACUUGACCUCUGAUUAGAUGGCUAGGAUUUUCCAAUCAGUAUGAUGUUCGGGAUAACCUCCAUCAACAAUGGGGCCCAUAAUUUUGUGCUCUUGCAUCCCCCAUGUGGGCUGGAUGAAUCACCAUGGAAUGAACCUGGAAUUUUAACUGCUAGAAAGGAUUUAGACUACAUUGGAUGAGAAGAACUGUUGGAAGCCUUGAAGAGGCAAAAGGGUACGUUUGAAACCAGUCAAGAAGAUAGUACUGAAAUUCCGGAGGAGUUAAAGCUGAGGUUGGCAUACAGGGAAGCAGUUGUGGCUGUUCUUGCAUGCUACAAUCCAAAUCCUCACCGUCCUUUCACUGAGACUAAUAUUCGUUCCAUUCGCAGCAAGCCAAAUAUGCGUUAUGUUGAGACUCCUGGAAGAGUUUUUCAGCGGUAGUGGGUCCAAAUGGAAGUGGUAAAAGCAAUGUCAUAGAUGCAAUGCUCUUUGUAUUUGGGAAACGAGCUAAGCAGGAGGCUGGAUGAAACAAAUGUUUAUCAAAGCAGCUCAAUUAGUUUUCUUCAAAAAUGGUGAAGGGAAAGUGAUAUGUAUCCCUGUCGUGGUGGCGGUAUGUUCACUCAUUGGCCGUAUCUUUUGUGUUACAUCUCUCAACUUAAUAUAAGGUGUCUCAAAUUGAUUGUGAAAUUCACAUGCUAAAUCAAAUGAUCAAGUUUAAAAAUUGAUUUGGCUAGAUUGUUUGGUUUAUGCUCAAGUGCUCAACUGUAGCUGAAUAUUCUGUAUUGAGAUAUCGUUGAUAUGUGUCGCAUGUAUCGAUGAUAUUCAGGAAUAUUUGUAAAUGGGCAGUGCAAUAUUUUGAGAUAUAUCAAUGUAUGGCUACAACAUUGAGUAUGUCUAAUAUCCCCUUUAUAAAAAAAAAAAAAAAGAAAAGAAAAAAGAAGCAAUUGUCUGCAUUGGAAAAUGCUUUUUUUAUCUUCAUUGAUAUAUAGAGGACGUGGUAAUAUAUAAUUCACAGUAUGCGCGUAUAGACGGCUAACUUACCUGGUCCAAGAUGCAUGGGUCGAUACACUUGAAGAUUUUUAAUCAUGUUGAUAUUCUCGUGAGCAUUGUUUGGAUAACAGGGAAAAGGUUUGAUGACAAUUUUCAUUGAUCCAAUCUAAGAAUACUCGAAUAUUAGAAGCUGUUUUAUAUUGAGAAAAGCUAGCAAAACUUGUAUUUUUCUUUGAUUUUAUAUCCAAGUUUCUAAUUCAUCUUUUUUCUUCUUUUGUAUUUGUAUGGUACAGUUCACUAUUCUUUUGUUGGCAAGACAUCUUGUUUCUAUACUUGUUGGUGGAACAGACCAUUAUGCAUUCACACUUUUCACUGAUUUACUUCUUUUUUUUCUGUUGUUGUUGUUGAUUUUGUCUAUUUUCUGAAUAGUUGUUGAAUAGCCUUGCAAUUCUUUUUGUUUUGCCUUACGAAAUAAUGCCGCCGGUUCUCUUUGGGAGUUUGUUAGUUAGUUUUCUUCUAUCGUACUUCCAAGAGUGACCCAUUACUGGUAGAUUUUUCUCUAAGUUUUCUUCACAUUGAGCCCACCGAUGCACAUGUCAAACUUCCCAUGCAAGUGGUAGGCCAGUAGUGUGGCCUUGUAUGAGGUGCAUGUGGGCUUAACAAGUUGCUUUAUUAGUUACUUCUUUUUUCUUUUCUUUGGAAGUUGCCAGUUACAGGCACUUUCAUCUCUCUUCAUAUUUUCAGUUUUACCACUCUUGAUUCCCUUUCCAUUUUCAAAUUUUCAUCACUUGACUAAUGCUAUGGUAUUUGAUUUUUAUAAUAAAUAAGGCAUGUAUGAAUCAUUUGCAGGCGUUUUUGAACUUAUUGUACUUCUAUGGAAUGUGUGGUGUAGUGAAUGAUUGCUUACUUCAAUGGUACUUUAGCAAUAGUCCUCUAGUGAUGGUUCGCCCUUGAAUAUAAUUACAGAAGACGCACAGGAGAAGUUAUCGGUAUAGUUGUCGGAUGUGCAGGUGGAUUAUUGAUACUCACAUCCAUUUUCUAUCUAUGGUAGAUGAAGGAUGCACCUAGCCAUAUGCGAGUGCACACAGACUCACCAAGAUUUGUAUUUUCAAUAUUAUUGUAAUUGUAAUUGAAUUGA